rnacentral:rRNA from 1 species
AGAAUCAACGCUGGCGGCGUGCCUAACACAUGCAAGUCGAACGAGAAAGUGGAGCAAUCCAUGAGUAAAGUGGCGCACGGGUGAGUAACACGUGACUAACCUACCCUUGAGUGGGGGAUAACCUAGGGAAACCUGGGCUAAUACCGCAUAAUACCUACGGGUCAAAGGAGCAAUUCGCUUUAGGAGGGGGUCGCGGCAGAUUAGUUAGUUGGCAGGGUAAUGGCCUACCAAGACGAUGAUCUGUA